GAUAUUUCAAGUAGGCAUAAGAGAGAGAAUAUAUUGGAUUACUUCUAUAAGAAAUAUAAUGGUUCCAAUAAAUUGGUAUCCAGGUUUGACUACUUCUGUAAGAAACUUACUUCCUGUAGUGUGUAGACACUUGAAGAAACAUGUUUCAUGUAAUCUAGACACUUGAAGAAGGCAAGCAACUAAAAUAAAUUGCAUAUGAAGCUCUGCAAUUCCCAUAUUGGUCCUGACAUAUUGGAUCCUUCGCCAUGCAUCCUGGGUUCAGGGGCUCAUUCUUUCCAAGAAAUUACAAAAAUAUUCUUGCUUCAAUUGCUUGUUACUUGGCAUACAAUGUGUCAUCUCAUUCCAAAAAGUACUGUAGGACUAAUAGACAUGGUCCUGGCUAGUUGAAGUGGUUUCUGAAAAGGAAAAUCAUAAUAUUACAAAUAGCAAGCUGUUCAAAGGGAAAGAUUAGUUUAAUUUGAUGAUUUGACAGUUGCAAUACUGGAGAAACUGGGGUUUACAAAGUCAACUGGCACUAAAUAAUAAUGCAAAAUCAGGUUAUACAUCCAUUUCUUUCUGCUGUGAAAAAUAUAUGCAUUCUACAUAAUACUAAAAUAACUACAAAAUAUGCAUGUUUAAAAACAUCAAGGUUGUGGUACACUAAUCUGAUUAUCCUGAUGGAGCUCAAACUUGUAGGUAGAAAUAUGGGACUGGUGUAUACUGCAGUAACAUCUACUAAAGUCGACCAUUACUCCAAGAUCAAAAUGUGAUAAUCAUAGUAUAAGUUUGCUUCAUGGAAAAACCGAAACAUAUUUUCUUGUACUCUGCUGACAGCUAUACUUGUUCAUAAGAUAACCAACAUGUAUUCUGACAAACUGAUGAGUAUUUUUAUCUACUUUUUUGUGACCGGAACGUCCAUUGAGGCAGGCAGGCAGAGGCAUACAGGGGCUUUGUAGCGUUGGCCUGAUGCAAUGUAUAGAGGUGCCAACUGUUAGUCACCUGGGAAAGAAGAUGUGUUCAUAAAGAGCCUAGACUCGUCUUUUCCCCAACUCUGUAGCCAAUUUAGGUUGGAAAAUUCAUGAAAAAAAAUUUCAAUCAUCAUCUGCACGAGUUUCUCCAUUGCUUACAUCUGCAUGUACAUACUGACAUGGAGUAACUCUCAUGGUAGCAAGAAAUUUUAAUUUCCACUGACGUGCAAACAAAGUAUUAACACAACUGGAGCAAAGAAGAUCACAGAGAUGAAAAAAUGAUCAUCAGUAUAGAGAAAAAAUAGGAUGGGUGAAUAAAAUGUUCUAACCUUACAAAUUGAGGUGCAUUAGUAAGAAAACUAAAACUUCUUACCCUGUUGCUUGCACAAGUAGCAGGCUUUCCUAGGUUUGGAUCACUCCAAGAAAUCAAUGGGUAAAUUGCGGCAGCUGCUAUGUUCUGCUGAUUGUGCAGAAGUACGAAGUGGUUAAGACAUCGACAUAGGGAUGGAUUGCAUUGCAAAUUCGACAGCCAACAACGACGGGAGCACGGUGCUCUGUCAAGGCUAUUAGUGCAGUAGCAGGUCGCUGCGCACACCUGCUUGCUUGCUUCAUGCCCCUGUAUCGCUUCUCGGCAUAGUGAAAUAAGCUUUCUAACAAU
rnacentral:lncRNA from 1 species